rnacentral:lncRNA from 1 species
CCAUAUAAAUAUUAAAGUUUUAAACAAAAAAAACGUAAACUCCAUUUUCAACAAAAAGAAAAUCUGAGGAGAUCUCAGAUUUCUCUCAACCAACCCCUCGGCCGACCAUCGUCGCCGCCAUAGUGCUACAGUGUACAGUGGUUGGCGACAAAAAAAUGGCUUUUUAGCCCUCGUUCCGGAACGCCCUUGGAAGCCCAACCCUCUCGGCCUCAAAAGAAAAUGGAGGACUCUCGACCCACUCGUGGAUCCGAAGGCAACGACGGAGGAGCCCUCCGACAGCGCGGUCACGGGGUGUCCGGUGAGCCCUCCCCUCCUUUUUUAUUUCUUAUUUAUUAUGCAAAAGAGAUAAAAUAAAAUAAAAUAAAACGAACAGAAAACAAUCUAAAAAAAUCACCUUUUAAAAUUGAUUUCUGUUUUUUUAUUAUUCAAAGUUCGUCAAAAGAAGAAAUUACAGUGUUUUUGUUCGGCCUAUAUAGCCGAUUUUUACAACCCCUAUACUUCUACUUUUUUGUCGUUUGCGAUUUGGAUUGUGUUUGUUUGUCAUUUUGUGCUUUGUUUGGUUGUCUGUUGUCUACUACUCUUUGUAGGUGUUCUGGCGCGCAUGGGAAGGUGGCGAUGGGACGCGAUGACGGUGGCGUGCACGAGGGAGGCCGGCAGAACAUGCGUCGCUGGGUCAUGGGCAGAGGCGAGCAUGCGACGCUGGAGGCUUAGGACUAGGGUUUUUGUUGAAAAAAAACAUUAGUUUGUUGGCCUUUGGGCUGUUAUAUUUUGGGCUUGUAAUUAGGGUUUUAUUUGUAUUUGGGCUCGGGUUUGUUGUAAAUGGACUGAGACUAUUAAUUUAUUUAUUUUUGGUUUAAUAUUUGGUCCCUGGGCAGAAAUUGGGCCUUACAGUUGCAACAGGUCCAUUGUUGAGAAACUAGUGAAGGGCAUGUAGCUUUGAGAUGCCCUAUUCUGGUUUCUCCUUUUUGAGUUGCAUAGAGAAGAAAAAUAGGAAAAAUGUCUUUUUGGAUUAAUUAUAGUGUAACGAUUUGAAAGUUAGUAGUAUCGGAAAUGGUAUUUUCGGAACUCUAUUUUCUAUGUUUGAAUUCAUUAAUAUCAUUAUUUAAUAUUUACAAGACUAGUAUGAAGUUUAAUUAAAAAUUGGUUCUUUAAUUUUGUUACUUAGAUAGUUAAGGAAUAAAUAUUUCGACCCUAGAG